GGGGCUAUGAUUAUUUCCACUUUACAGAUCAGGAAACCAAGGCACAAAGAUUAAGUGAUUUCCCCAGGGUCACACAGCUAGUAAGUGUCUAAGGAAGGUCUUCUGACUCCAAGUUCACCUCGCUGCCUCACAAGUCUCAGAGAAAGCCCUGACUUACAUUGGUAGUUUUCCUGUUUGGUAGUUCCCAACCACAGUCCAGUUUAAAGGGGGGAUAAGAAUACAGUAGUAGGCAGACCUGGUGAGGAACAGCAUUGGCACUAAUCUACCGAGCCUGUUGAGAGUCAUUUCUUGCCUGGCUUUAGUCUGCGUGAGGAAAGAGCGAGAGGCAAUGGAGAAGGAGAUCGAAGCAGAGGGGCCUCAUUUUUUCCUUUUCUCUAGGCUGAGACGCCAAAGUAGUCCAAAUGCCCUAUUCACUUGAUAAGCAGUGCUUGGGAGAACCUGAGAAUAAUGCUGGAUGUGAGCCAAAGGUCUUCAAGAAAAGGCUGCAUCAAGCCGAGAUGGCAACCCAGUGUAGAUAGCUCAACAGAGGUGCCCAAGAGAGGGCAGAGAUUAAUAGCAGAGAGUCAAAGUGUGGCAUCAUCAGAGGACAUCAGAAGCUCUGCAACAAAGGAGGUAUGAGUUGCCCCAAGAUUAUAUGAGUUUUCUGGCCAAACUUGUCCCAUAUAUGCUUUGUUGUUUUUCAGUCAUUUUUUCAGUCAUGUCUGACCCUUUGUGACCUCAUUUGGAGUUUUCUUGGCAAAGAUUCUGGAGUGGUUUGCCAGUUCUUUCUCUGGCUCACUUUACAGAUGAAGAAACUGAGGCAAAGCGGGUUAAGUGGGCAAGUACCCAGGGUCACACAGCUAAUAAGUGUCUGAGGCCAGAUUUGAACCCAGGAAGAUGAGUCUUCUUGACUCCAGGCCUGGAACUGUAUGUACUAUGGUGUCACCUGGCUGCCCUCAAAGAGCUAGUCCUUUUCUAUAAUGGUCUUUUAAAACCUAGGCCUAGCCCUAUACCGUUAUGAGACUUUAGAGGAGUAGAUCAGUGAAAUUUGUCAAUGUCUUCCCUAAAGCUUACGUGAUUCAGAACUGACCAUGAUGGUUCAGAAGAGGACUGACUGGGGUAGAUUACGUUGAGACUAUCAUCCUUUUGUUCUGGACACUAUAUCUCUGUCACUGUAGCCCAAGUCUCCAUCAUGGCUGCCUUGUUACGCUGUUGAUGC
rnacentral:lncRNA from 1 species